rnacentral:rRNA from 1 species
UACGGAGGGGGCUAGCGUUGUUCGGAAUUACUGGGCGUAAAGCGCACGUAGGCGGCUUUGUAAGUUAGCGGUGAAAGCCCGGGGCUCAACUCCGGAAUUGCCUUUAAGACUGCAUCGCUAGAAUUGUGGAGAGGUAAGUGGAAUUCCGAGUGUAGAGGUGAAAUUCGUAGAUAUUCGGAAGAACACCAGUGGCGAAGGCGACUUACUGGACAGAUAUUGACGCUGAGGUGCGAAAGCGUGGGGAGCAAACAGG